rnacentral:rRNA from 1 species
UGGUGGAGCGAUUUGUCUGGUUAAUUCCGAUAACGAACGAGACUCUGGCCUAUUAAAUAGUUCGCCGAUUCCGAUCUGUCGGCGUUAACUUCUUAGAGGGACAAGUGGCUUUUAGCCACGCGAGAUUGAGCAUUAACA